rnacentral:rRNA from 1 species
GAUGAACGCUGGCGGCGUGCCUAAUACAUGCAAGUCGAACGAACAGACGAGGAUUUUGCGCCUCGGACGUUUGCGGCGGGGGGGUGUGAAACACGUGUAAAACCCCCCUAUAUGAGGGGGAUAACUUGGGGAAACCGGAUCAUAUACCGGAUAAUCUAUUGAACCGUGUGGUUCGUUAGAGAAAGACGGUUUUUCGGUCUCGUAUAGAUGGAUCCGCGCCGCAUUAGCUAGUUGGUAAGGUAAAGGCUUACCAAGGCGACGAUGCGUAGCCGAGCUGAGAGGGUGAUCGGCCACACUGGAACUGAGACACGGUCAAGACUCCUACGGGAGGCAGCAGUAGGGAAUCUUCCGCAAUGGGCGAAAGCCUGACGGAGCAACGCCGCGUGAGUGAUGAAGGUCUUCGGAUCGUAAAACUCUGUUAUUAGGGAAGAACAAAUGUGUAAGUAACUAUGCACGUAUUGACGGUACCUAAUCAGAAAGCCACGGCUAACUACGUG